rnacentral:rRNA from 1 species
UACGAAGGGGGCUAGCGUUGUUCGGAUUAACUGGGCGUAAAGGGCGCGUAGGCGGGUCUUUUAAGUCAGGGGUGAAAUCCCAAGGCUCAACCUUGGAACUGCCUUUGAUACUGGAGAUCUUGAGUCCGGGAGAGGUGAGUGGAACUGCGAGUGUAGAGGUGAAAUUCGUAGAUAUUCGCAAGAACACCAGUGGCGAAGGCGGCUCACUGGCCCGGUACUGACGCUGAGGCGCGAAAGCGUGGGGAGCAAACAGG